rnacentral:lncRNA from 1 species
UGUUUUGUAAGUUACGUAAUUGACUGACAAAUGAAUUAGGAUAAGAAUUCAUUAUAUGUAUAGGCUAUCAAAUUGUUAUUUGCCAAAGCUCAAAGAGGAUAGAAAGACUUAGAAAUCAAUAAUGAAAAUGACAGUAACAAUCAAUGAGACUUCUUUCAUUUUUAUGAGCUUCUUGACCACAUGGUUGAAUUGAUGGUUGACCCUUUUAGGAGUUAUGCUACAAAAUAGUUCAUUGCAGUAUCCUUUCCAACUAAACAUCAUGACCUUGAGUCUUUAAUCAGUAGCAUCAGUUUCCAUGCCAACUUCCAUCUGGAAAAGAACAUAUACACCAAACAUUAAAACUACAUAAACAUGUUCAAGGCAAUCAAGUUAGGCUUGAAUUUUAACAAAUACACAAUUUAUCCAACUAUGCAAUAAUUCUUGAAGUGCAGCAACUAUACAAUGAAGAAGCUAGAUUCUUUUGGAUACAUAAUACAGGGCCACGGGGAUGUGUAUUAGGAACAAACAAAAUGUAUAAGCCAACUCCUAAAGACACAAAUUCUGCUGGUUGUAGAAUAUCUGAAAAUCAGAUUGCUCAAGAAUUUAACAAGCAACUUUAGGACCUUAUUGUUGACCUAAGAAAAAGUUCCCUGAUACAAGGUUUACCUAGGUUGAUAUCUACUCAGCCAAAUAUGAAUUAACCAAAAAUGCAAUCAGCCGUAUCAAUAAUUUCAAGAGUGCAAAUGAUAAUCAUUGGCAGACAAACAUCUCUCAACAGUUACAGCAAUAACUGGGCAGCCUUAAAAGUCAGAGAAUAAAACAGAAAUCAGGCAGCAUGUAGCAACUGUUACAUAUGAAGCGGUAAUAAGGAACUGAAACAAUAUAGGAAUUUCAAAAAAAAUGCAAACCAGAAGGCAUAUUAAUUUCAGUUACAUAGUCAACCUGAUUGCAGCAAUAAAAGGCAAUCAUAGAGCAGAAUUUCAGAAGAUCAAUUAAGGGUAUGUUAACUCCUAAGAACAGCCAACCAAAGGACUGGUAGGAGUCCCACAUUGAGUAGAAUAGUAACCUCAAUGUGGUACUUAAAACAUAGUCUCUCCCACCUAAUAGAGUAGUUUUUUGGGUUUAGCUCUCCUCAUAUCCUUAAGUCUUAACAAGGACACACAGAAAUGCAGGUCACAUUAAUGUUUUCAGUUACACAACAAAAUGGCAACAUUCAUGAGCACUUUUAAAAUGUUAUAAUUAGAGAGCAAAAGUCAUGGUAUUGCUAAUUUUCAAUUAGUAAUUGAAAGAGUUUUUUUGAACUAAUCCAUACUCAACUAUAAAAAGAGUACAACACACAACCAUAAAAAAAAAAUCAGAGAGAGAACUGUGACCAGAUUACACAUAUGCAUACACAACUAUAAGAAAAAGCAGAGAAAAGAGGACAUAUCACUUACAUACAUCACAACAUAGAAAAAAUAGAGUGAGAAAAAAGAGUACCAUCUCACAACUAUCAACAAACAACACAUAUUCACAAUACAUACAACUAUCGGAAAUUAAGAAAUAUCACAUAUACCUGUAUCGCAAAUCAGAGAACGUCAUACAAGUGCAAAGAAAAAAAACAACCAGGAACAGGAACAGAAGGCUGUCACUUAAAGAGCAAAGGAAAAAAGGUAUACUCCGACGUACACAAUUCACCCUAUUCAAGUAGUUGUAAAUUGAAAUUGUUUUAACAUAUUCACAUAUUUAUUAAACGCC